rnacentral:rRNA from 1 species
UACGUAGGGUGCGAGCGUUUGUCCGGAAUUUAUUGGGCGUAAAGAGCUUGUAGGCGGUUUGUCGCGUCUGCUGUGAAAAUCCGGGGGCUCAACCCCGGACUUGCAGUGGGUACGGGCAGACUAGAGUGUGGUAGGGGAGACUGGAAUUCCUGGUGUAGCGGUGGAAUGCGCAGAUAUCAGGAGGAACACCGAUGGCGAAGGCAGGUCUCUGGGCCACUACUGACGCUGAGAAGCGAAAGCAUGAGGAGCGAACAGG